rnacentral:rRNA from 1 species
UACGUAGGGUGCAAGCGUUAAUCGGAAUUAUUGGGCGUAAAGCGUGCGCAGGCGGUUUUGUAAGUCUGUCGUGAAAUCCCCGGGCUCAACCUGGGAAUUGCGAUGGAGACUGCAAGGCUAGAAUCUGGCAGAGGGGGGUAGAAUUCCACGUGUAGCAGUGAAAUGCGUAGAGAUGUGGAGGAACACCGAUGGCGAAGGCAGCCCCCUGGGUCAAGAUUGACGCUCAUGCACGAAAGCGUGGGGAGCAAACAGG